AGGAGAACACGCAUUCCCUCUUGGGUCCUGGGAUUCUGUCAAACCCUCUUUAUUGCUCUAUGCUUAGAAACUUCAUGACAUGUCCUGGAACUCUGGUAAGUCUGUGAUGUUAGUCCUCCAGAGGAUGGAGCUCUGGGUAUGAGGUUUGUCUGACCCACCCUGGCCUUGGCUGAGUCUGUCUGUCCCAGUCAAUGGCCAUAGGAGUUCCACACACAUAGAAAAGUCUGCAGUUCCCUGUAGGCAGAGGCUACCUCUCCACCUCUGAGGGAAAUCCAGGCUGUUGGCCCUGAUCUGCCAAGCUCUGGCUGGUCUGGAUUCUGGUUGCCAUGGAGACGCCAGCUCUGCUUUGUGCCUACAAGAAGGGAGAGCUGCUGGGUGUAUCUUGCCCACGGCUGCAGGGUCUGAAGCCUGGGAGGGGGUAAAGGCUAGUGGGGCCAGGCAGACAAGGACAUAUUACUGGCAAGCACACCCACCUUCCCUCUCACCGCUCCAACCACGAGAACCAUCAAGAUAACAGCAUGAAUCCCCAUGAACAUGGUGUCUCAACAUAAGGGCACUGACCCAGUGCAGGACCACCACUACUCAUGCUGUUUGGUUAUUAGUAUGAUCCCAGUGUCAGGGAGCAGAGCUGUGGGGAUUGGGUCUGAGAGCAACCUGUUUCUAGAGGUGGUCACAACAAGAGUCCUCAAAGAGUUUGACAUGGUGGGGAGAUCUGCUGCUUCUUCUGGAGGCUCUCCUUCCAUCUACUCUUGCAUUGAAGUAGAAAUAAUUCUGGUUCUGCUGGGGUGAAGGAAGCAAGGAAGAGAGGAAGAAAGGGAAGGGAGACAGAGAGAAGAAGACAGAAGAAACCAACAAUACAGAAUUUGAGAGGUGGCCAUCUAUUCCAACCUAUGCCUCCCUAAAACACAAUACCCAGCAAAUAUGAUCCAGACCUUGUUUAAAGAAUUGCAACCAUGAGGAGCCUACACUUCCUAAGGUAGCUUAUCCUACUCCAUCCUUGAAUAGGUUUAGUUGCUAAUGGUCUUUUCCUACAUAAAGCUCAAAUUUGCCUCUUUUACCCUCUGCCAUUGCAUUUGGCACAGUUCUUCCAGGGUCAAUCCAAACAAACCUGAUUUUUCUUCUCCCACAUGAUAGCCUUUCAAAUACUCAAAGACAGCUAUCAAGUCCUUUGGGAAAGAUGGGUCAUCCUUAAGAGGAGGCUCUUUAUUGUCCCUUAUAUAUUCCACAGGAAGCAGGAAUUGGUGAAGGGAAAGGAAUUCAUUUCACACCAUUACCAUCCCUAUCAAAACCCACAUCUGAAAUUCAUGUCUAGUCUCAUCCCUAACUAAUGUUUGCUGAUUGACAACUCCAACCCAAAUACCUAAUCCCUAAACCCAGUCCUCCAAGCAACCCCAACCCUCCUCCCCCCAACAAUCUCUUGGCCUCUCCCUAACCUGCUCCUCUCUUUGCUCUUCCUCAUAUCACCAUCCCCAUGCUCCUGGAUUAGUUUGUAGAAUUCAGGUCAGGCUGGAAAAGCUGGUCGGAGAGGGCAGGUCAGAGGAAAGGCCAUUUGAGCCAAACAUUUGAACUUUGUCAAAGGGUGAGUGUCUUUCCCCACUGUUACUUGUGUCUUUCCUGCCCAGUCUCCUAUUGUCCUAUGACUUCCAGGCAGUUAGCCAGAGCUACUUAGAGACUCCCAGGAGACUUUAUCACCCGCCUUCCCCUAGUCAGUCUUCAUCCAGCUGGCCUAGAAUUUCCCAGAUAUGGGGUAGGGAUCCAGGCUGGCCACUGUGCUGUACAGGUUGUAGCU
rnacentral:lncRNA from 1 species